rnacentral:lncRNA from 1 species
CAACUGCCUGGCAUGUGACUGGAGGUACUUUGCAGUCAUUGCUGGGAUUUCACUGAUGUGACCCCAACGCUGCCUCCCUCUCCACCCCACGAUGUUGGAAGAAACUCAACAGAGUAAAUUGGCUGUGGCCAAGAAAAAGUCCUCGAGCCGCUGUGAAGCAGUCCUCAAGCGGCAGUUAUGGCAGUCCAUAAAGGCUCGGGCACAGCUGGAAGCACACGUGACACAGAUGUUGGAACAAGUCCAGCUAGAGACAGAUGAAUAUACUCAACAUCUAAAAGGAGAGAGGGCCCGGUGGCAGCAGAGGGUAUGGAAAAUGUCAGAGGAGGGCCCUGUCCCCCGUGCUUUGGGCAGGUUUGCACAUGGAAGGAGGAGAAGAAGCAUGACAGGCAUCGGGUACAGGAGCUGGAGAGGAGCUUGGCCGAACUCAAAAACUAGAUGGCUGAACCCCUGCCCCUGGAGCCCCCAGCAGGGCCCUCUGAGGUGGAACAGCAGCUACAAGCUGAGGCCGAGCACCCGAGGAAGGAGCAGGAGAGUCUGGCAGGACAGCUCCAAGCUCAGGUGCAAAACAAUCAAGGCUUGAGUCACCUGAACUGGGAGCAGGAGGAGAGGCUGCUGGAACGGGAGACGCUGCGGGAGCAGGAGAGGCUGCAGGAGCUGGAGGAGAAGCUGCAGGAGUAGGAGAGGCUGGGAGAGCGGGAGGAGAGUCUGCGGGAGCGGGAGGAGAGUCUGCGGGAGCGGGAGGAGAGGCUACGGGAGUGGGAGGAGAGGCUGCGGAGCAGGAGGACAGGCUGCUCGAGCUGGGGCGGAAAGCCAAGCUCUGGGAGGAGCAGGCAGAGACGUGCAUGCAGGCCCUGCGGAACCACACCACCAUCAACCACGUGCUCUCUCAGAACCAUGAGCUCGACUAGCAGCUGGCUGGGCCACAGAGCGGCUUAGAGGAGCUGAACAACGAGAAUAAGAGUGCACUACAGUUGGAGCAGCAAGUAAAGGAGCUGCAGGAGAAGCUGGGCAAGCUGAAGGAGACUGUAACCUCUGCCCAUCCAAGAAGGGCUGGGAGGAGCACCUGGAAGGUACCAGCCAGCAGAACCAGCAGCUACAGGCCCAGUUGAGCCUCAUGGCACUCCCUAGGCAAGGUGGCGUUUUUCAACUCCGCUGGAGCCAGUGCCCAGGAGGAGCAGGUAUGGCUUAUGUGGGCAGCUGAGGGAGCAAAGGGUGUGGUGCCAGCGCCUGACUCACCCGGGUGGCCUUGGCCCAGAAGGAGCCAGAGGUAGUGGAACCAGCCCCAGGGACUGGGGAUGAGUCUGUGUGUGGGUAGACUCAUCAGGCCCUGCAGGGAUCCAUGGAGAAGUUGCAGGUGAGUGAGUCAUGGCAUGGGCCAAGAAGGUUGGGGGCAGAGCAGGGCAGGGCAGGUCGCUCUCAAGAUGUGACCCCAUUAUUUUGGAUCCAGAGUGGCUUUAUGGACCUCCUGAAGGAGAAGGUGGACCUGAAGGAGUGGGUGGAGAAACUAGAGCUUCGAUCCAUCCACCUCUCAGGACAGGCAGACACCAUCAGAAAGUAAAUCACAACAUACGAGGGCCAGAGGGCAGCGCCAAAGACGCGGCACCAGGAGGAGGAGGACAUCAUCAGGCUGGCCCAGGACAAAGAGGAGAUGAAGAUGGGGCAUUGCAGCACCUCUGUGGGGGUGGGGGUGGGGUGGGUGUGAGCGUGGGCAGGGGCACUGGCACCAGCGUGGCAGCUGAGCACCCCUCCCUUCAGGUGAAACUGCUGGAGCUGCAGGAGCUGGUGUUGCGGCUUGCAGGCGAUCACAACGAGGGGCAUGGCAAAUUCCUGGCCGCUGCCCAGAACCCUGCUGAUGAUCCUGCUCCAGGGGCCCCAGCCCCUCAGGAGCUUGGGGCUGCUGACAAGCAGGGUGGCUUUGAAGACAAGAUUCCCAAAAGGAGAUUCUCUGAGAUGCAAAAUGAAAGACGAGAACAGGCACAGCGGACUGUUUUAAUACAUUGCCCAGAGAAAAUCAGUGAAAACAAGUUUCUUAAAUAUUUAUCCCAAUUUGGACCUAUUAAUAAUCAUUUCUUCUAUGAAAGCUUUGGUCUCUAUGCUGUCGUAGAAUUUUGCCAAAAGGAAAGCAUAGGUUCACUGCAGAAUGGGACUCAUACUCCAAGCACGGCCAUGGAGACUGCAAUUCCAUUCAGAUCACGUUUCUUCAAUCUGAAGUUGAAAAACCAGACUUCUGAACGGUCACGCGUACGGUCAAGUAAUCAGUUGCCACGUUCAAACAAGCAGCUUUUUGAAUUACUUUGUUAUGCAGAAAGUAUAGACGAUCAGCUGAACACUCUCUUGAAGGAGUUCCAGCUAACAGAGGAGAACACUAAGCUCCGAUAUCUCACCUGUUCUCUUAUUGAAGACAUGGCCGCCGCGUAUUUUCCAGACUGCAUAGUCAGACCCUUUGGCUCCUCAGUCAACACUUUUGGGAAGUUAGGAUGUGAUUUGGACAUGUUUUUGGAUCUAGAUGAAACCAGAAACCUCAGCGCUCACAAGAUCUCAGGAAAUUUUCUGAUGGAAUUUCAAGUGAAAAAUGUUCCUUCAGAAAGAAUUGCAACUCAGAAGAUCCUGUCUGUGUUAGGAGAGUGCCUUGACCACUUUGGCCCUGGCUGUGUGGGUGUGCAAAAAAUAUUAAAUGCCCGGUGUCCGCUCGUGAGGUUCUCACACCAGGCCUCCGGAUUUCAGUGUGAUUUGACUACGAACAAUAGGAUUGCCUUGACAAGUUCCGAACUCCUUUAUAUAUAUGGUGCCCUAGACUCAAGAGUGAGAGCCUUGGUGUUCAGUGUACGGUGCUGGGCUCGAGCACAUUCACUAACAAGUAGUAUUCCUGGUGCAUGGAUUACAAAUUUCUCCCUUACAAUGAUGGUCAUCUUUUUUCUCCAGAGAAGAUCACCCCCUAUUCUUCCAACACUAGAUUCCUUAAAAACCCUAGCAGAUGCAGAAGAUAAAUGUGUAAUAGAAGGCAACAACUGCACAUUUGUUCGUGACUUGAGUAGAAUUAAACCUUCACAGAACACAGAAACAUUAGAAUUACUACUGAAGGAAUUUUUUGAGUAUUUUGGCAAUUUUGCUUUCGAUAAAAAUUCCAUAAAUAUUCGACAGGGAAGGGAGCAAAACAAACCUGAUUCUUCUCCUCUGUACAUUCAGAAUCCAUUUGAAACUUCUCUCAACAUAAGCAAAAAUGUAAGUCAAAGCCAGCUGCAAAAAUUUGUAGAUUUGGCCCGAGAAAGUGCCUGGAUUUUACAACAGGAAGAUACAGAUCGACCUUCCAUAUCAAGUAAUCGGCCCUGGGGGCUGGUAUCCCUAUUGCUACCAUCUGCUCCAAACAGAAAGUCCUUUACCAAGAAGAAAAGCAAUAAGUUUGCAAUUGAAACAGUCAAAAACUUGCUAGAAUCUUUAAAAGGUAACAGAACAGAAAAUUUCACAAAAACCAGUGGGAAGAGAACAAUUAGUACUCAGACAUGAUGGCUGCUACAUUGUGUAAAGAACUGGGCUUAGCCUAUCAAAUGGUCUGUGGACUUACUUGGAAAAACUGAUUUGAAACUUUCACAGAUCUCAGCUUUCAUCUGAUGUCACUUUUCAUGAUCUUCUCAUUGGCCCCCUUAACCUGGUCUGAAGUUCUGGGAUGUUUUCAGUUUGAUCAGUCUGAUACUCAGUGGCACUUUAUUAAAACAUCAGCUGUGGAGUGUGGCGGUGCACACCUGUAGUCCCAGCUGCUCAGGAGGCUGAGGCAGGAGGAUCUCUUGAGCCCAGGAUUUUGAAUCCAUCGUGGACAACAUAGCAAGAUUCCAUCUCUAAAAAAAAUGAAAAUAAACAUAAGCCACAAGGAAUGGGUGAAAGAUUAUUGUAAUGUGCUUUAACUAAAUAGGUAAAUAUACUAAACAAAUGCUAAAACUCAGUUUUAGGAUGAAACCAUUGUUGAUAUCCACAUCAGUCCCUGUUUAGAAAACAUUUAAAAUGACUUUUAGUUAUGUACAGUACGUUGGCAAUGAAUACAUUAAGCUUCAAAAUUUGGUAGUGCUCUCGAAUAUGUAUAUUUGUAUUUUUCAAGCGAAGUUCUCUUA